rnacentral:rRNA from 1 species
GAUGAACGCUGGCGGCGUGCCUAAUACAUGCAAGUCGAGCGAACGGACGAGAAGCUUGCUUUUCUGAUGUUAGCGGCGGACGGGUGAGUAACACGUGGAUAACCUACCUAUAAGACUGGGAUAACUUCGGGAAACCGGAGCUAAUACCGGAUAAUAUUUUGAACCGCAUGGUUCAAAAGUGAAAGACGGUCUUGCUGUCACUUAUAGAUGGAUCCGCGCUGCAUUAGCUAGUUGGUAAGGUAACGGCUUACCAAGGCAACGAUGCAUAGCCGACCUGAGAGGGUGAUCGGCCACACUGGAACUGAGACACGGUCCAGACUCCUACGGGAGGCAGCAGUAGGGAAUCUUCCGCAAAGGGCGAAAGCCUGACGGAGCAACGCCGCGUGAGUGAUGAAGGUCUUCGGAUCGUAAAACUCUGUUAUUAGGGGAGAACAUAUGUGUAAGUAACUGUGCACAUCUUGACGGUACCUAAUCAGAAAGCCACGGCUAACUACGUG